rnacentral:sRNA from 1 species
UUGAUUUUGGUGACUAGAGUUGUAGAUUCUGGAAAGCUUUGCCACUAAAAUUGACAAACCAGAUGCUCAUCACUGGCCAAUCACGCUGAUUCUUAAUGCCGGCACCAUGGCCCGGCACUGUCACAUUUUCCAAGGAACCUGCUGGAGCUCCUGUGGAAGCUUCUCCUUGGGCCGAUGAAGUCCCUUAGCUGGUAGGCCCUUCUUUAGUCACCACAGGAUGCCUGCCAUUCAUGAACAGGAAGGAGAGGAUGGGCUUUGAAUAAAAAACAGGAUCUGGAAAAUAUUUGUGAGGCCACUUGGACUUCAGUGUGAA